rnacentral:lncRNA from 1 species
AUAGAUAAAUAUGAGUUGGUUCAGAAGGCCAAACUAAUGGAGCAAGCUGAGAAGUAUGAUGACAUGGCAGCCUGCAUGAAAUCUAUCACUGAGCAAGGAGAUGAAUUAUCCAAGGAGGAGAGGAAUCUUCUUUCAAUUACUUAUAAAAUUGUUGAAGGAGCCCAUAGGUCAUCUUGGAGGGUCUUUUAAGUAUUAAACAAAUGAGGGAAGGUGCUGAAAAAAAAAACAGCAAUUAGCUCAAAAGUACAGAGAUAAAAUUGAGACUGAGCUAAGACAUAUCUGCAAUAAAGCACUAUCUCUUUUGGAAAUGUACUUGAUCCCCAAUGCUUCACAGAGAGCAAAGUCUUCUAUUUGAAAAUAAAAGGACACUACUAUUUUUUUGUAGCUGAGGUUUCUGCUGGUGAUGACAAGAAAGAGAUUGUGGAUCAGUCACAACAAGCAUACAGAGAAGCUUUUGAAAUUAGCAAAAAGGAAAUGCAACCAACAUAUCCUACCAGAUUGGGUCUGGCCUUUAAUUUUUCUGUAUUCCAUUAUGAGAUUCUAAACUCCCCAGAUAAAGCCUGCUCUCUUACAAGGACAGCUUUUGAUAAAGCCAUUGCUGAAUUUGACACAUUUAGCACAGAGCCAUACAAAGACAGCACAGUAGUUUUGAAACUACUGAGAAAUGGCUUGACAUUGCAGACAUCAGAUACCCAAGGAGAUGAAGCUGAAGCAAGAGAAGGAGGAGAAAA